UAGAAUUUGCCUUGGUCAGAAAUGCAUAUUCUGUUAUUGUGGGCCCGAUUGUCUGUCACUUUCCUAUGAUGCUGAUUUUGCAUGAUUUGCACAUCAAUUGGACUCAACCUCUCUUGUGAUGCGCAUGAUAGAAAUCUGUCAUAAAAUGAAAUUUAGAACCCCUGUUGUUCCCUUGUCGAAGCUGACCUCUUGUCAUUCUUUUAUGAUUUUCUUGUUAAGGAUUCUAAGUUUGGGUCUUUAACAAAAGUUGUUCAUCUUUCUUUUGUUCGCGCUGUGGUAAAAUUUCAUAUUCUUCAGAUUUUCUUUUUAGAUCAAAUCAUUAUUAAUGUGUCAUGACAUCCUAAUAUUUUGCUGCAUUUUUGACGAAGUUGUCUGCAUGAAACUUGUGCCUCAUUGUCUUCUUGACAUUUGAAACACGUGUUACAAGUUUCGCAUUAAUACAUGUCAUAUCAUAUUUGAAUCUGGUUUGAUGUGAAUAUCAUGCAUCCAUUUGGCUAAUUGCAAUUGAAAUUUGUCAAGCAUGACAUUCUUAAUCCCAAGUCACUUUGCAAUGUUAAUGACUUGUGUGACUUCUUUGCAUUCUGAUUUAGGGUUAAAUGUUUACCCAAACCUUUUUCGCAUUCAACCUUAUGUCAUGUGAAAGUUUCACAUUUUUGUACAUUGCCUAGGUGGUCUUACGAACCUUUAAACAUGCCUUGUAUUUUGUCCUGUUUGUGACUUGAAUUUGCUGGAUUUGUGUUCAUGUCUGAUGCCUAUGUCUAUUCGUUAUAGUAAUGACUUCUAUGCGUUGUCUUAGUCAUAUAAGAUGAGGCAAAUGAUCCUUGUUUCUUAGAUUAGGUUUAGAUUAGGACCCUGAGGAUGGAUAUAGGGUGAAAAUGGUGGAGGCCGAUGUCCAUUCAGACCAUUGUCAUGUACUAUUUGUUUUCCCGACAUAUGUCUCGGGUUCCUUUCGUUGUAUAAAAUCCGACGAGUUGCGGGUUUUCUUUCUUUUCUUUUUUUAAUUGUUUUCUCUUUUAUAUUUUUUUUAGAAUUGCAUGAUUAGGUUUAACUGCUUUCCUUGAUUGUCUACUUAAUGUCUUGCACUUUCAAUUUUAUUGAUUGUUUUCCUUUCUUUUUUAGAAAUAAAAUAGAAUGAAGGUAAUCCACCAUGCAUGAUCAUUUAGUAUAGAAUUGACGAUCAUGAAAAUAUAAAAAAAAUGCAUGGACAUGUUAGGAAAAAACACAACAUACUAUUUAGGUACUGAAAAUGCGCUAAUAGCAAUAUUAGCGUAACCCAAGUCCCCGAACCUAAAUAUCUAGUUACGUAGGAAUCGAGGGAACACUCCCGACUCUCGAUUGGGUUUCUAGCCGACCCCCAAAAUGAGGUUAGUGGCGACUCCUGUAUAUUUUUUAGGUUGUUAAAUACCUAGAUCGUAGAAAUAAAUCCGCUGUUGCGCGGGGUACGAGCUUGGGAGAGCUCGUGAUCUCGUGAGGAAACUCUCAUGAUCAAAGUACCCUUAAACUCGACCUUUCCCCUCCUUGGACAUUUCAAGGGACGACGAGAUCGGGUCGCGACAGGCUUGGCGACUCCACUGGGGACUGGUUACUAGAUUAAGAGGACUUGAAGCCGUUUAAAAAUGGUUGUUGUGUUUUAACUAACAUGUCUUAUGUAGGAUCGCCUGCAUGUGAAAGUCGUGUGCAAAAUCAGGUUAGUCGCUAACCUCAUGUUAAAUGGUUUUGUAGGUGGGAGUUAUAAGGGGAGGCGUGCUUGUAAACCCUUUGUUUUGCAGGUGGUGUAAGGAUGUAUGAAUGUAUGUGGGUUUAUAUUGAAGUGCUAGAUGUUUAAAUUUAAAUGCAUGAUUACAAGCUUUAGCACGACACUGCACACACAACCGCGGUCUAAAACCCUGAUCGCCCAAUCUAGGACCUUAGGAGGGUUUAUGGGUGGAAUCUGCAAGUGGAUUCUCGUGGUAAUCCAUUACUGACAUAAACCCGCUCAUCCUAACCGAUAAAGAUAGUACUGACCGACGAUAGUAGCGGUGGGUAAACUAUUUUUGUCCUUUGGGAUGAGGACCUUGAGCCUUUAGCACCCUCACCUUAGGCGUCAAAACCUCAUAGUUUCAUGCGACAUGUGAUUUGUGCUUGUCAUGUGUCUGGUGGGUAAGAUAUCGUUCCUUCUUCAUCGUGCUUAUCUUUUACUUUCCAUAUUUCAAUUAUGCAUUUUAUAUUUCAACGACGAUAUGUUUUAAUCAUGGAUGCCCCUUUAGGUUUAGGUUUAGAUGGGUAGACCCGAAGUGGACGUGAUCCCCGUGUCUGAAAAUCUUAAGACCUUAUGGGAGAACCUUGACCCAAGACAUCAAGACUACGUGGAGAAAAUGCAUAGGCAUUUUUGGCGAGCUCAUAUUAAGGAGCAAGAAGACAGUGCUUUAAUCAAUGAGGAACGCUUGGCCCAUGAUAACAAGCGUCUCCGCGCGAUCCCACCUAGUUCUUAGGUUUCUUUUCUUGUAAAGGGAUUUCCUUUGUAUUUCCCUCAUUUCUAUCGAAGUUUCCCUAUAUUUAUUUUCAUAUCACAUGUAAAAUCGAACCACUUUGUAAGCUUAAAAAAAGCAAGGUUUUGUUUCCCUUGUAAUUGUUCGAUUGAAAUGAAUGAAAUUCUUGAACAUUUUCAUGUAAUUUUUAGAAAAUGGGCAUUCUGAUUAAAUAUUUGUCGUCAUUCCUUUUCAAUUGUAUAAUUUCUUUUGAAGAAAUUUUGAUAAGAGGAUGUUAUAUGAUACUGGGAUCAUAUACACUUCUUAUCAUUAUUUCAUCUCAAGAAAAUAUAAAAUUGACUGGGAUUUGUAUUUCAAUGAUCUCUUUUAACUUGUACUAAUUCGAGUCAUUUUCUUUUACAGGAGGUUUUGAAAAAACGGCUGAAGAAAGAUUUGUUAUACGAACUCGCCACCAAACAAAGAUGGAAAACGAAGAUACCCAAGCCCGUGUCAUUAAUAUGGAGAAUCAAAUGGCGUAGCUAAUGACGUUAUUGGCCGAUCUCUCCAACCAAGUCAAAAACUUGACGUCUGUAACUCCCGUUUCUUCUACCAUGAAUAUUCCUACCGCACCCCCUGGAGUGCCGGUAGUAGAGCCCGUGGCAAAAGGGCUUGCGGAAGAGAUUCCCACUGCAAUCCCAAUAGUUAUUGGUCCAGAACCUCCAUCUAAGGAGAUUCCAACUUCGCACUUCAAUGAAGAAAAUGCAAGACGCCUCGCCAAGAUUGAGGAGCGCCUUUGCAUGCUGCAAGGCUAUCAGUUGCAAGGGUUUGAUAAACUAUCGCCCUUUGCCAAAGUUACAGUCCCUAAAUUCUAUAAGGAGCCGGAGUUCACAAAAAAUACGACUGCAUCGGAUGUCCUAAGACACAUUUGAAGUACUACUUGGGCAAGAUGGCCUGUUAUUCAGAUAAUCCCCCACUCUUGAUCAAUUCAUUUCAGGACAGCCUGGUUGGUCCUGCGUUAACCUGGUUUAUAGAGUUGGACAUGGAGAAAAUCCGUACUUGGGAAGAUCUCGUUGAUGAAUUCCUCCAGCAAUACAAAUUCAAUAUUGAAAUCGCUCUGACUCGAGAAGAAUUAGUUCGGGUCGAGAAAAGAAGAACUGAAUCAUUUAGGGCCUACGCUCAAAGAUGGAGGGUCAUUGUGUCUCAAGUAAAACCGCCAUUGUUUGAGAAAGAGACCAUGAAGUUGCUUCUUCAAGCUAUGCCCCGUGAUUUUUUCGAAAAGAUGUACAACCAUACUUGUAUGAACUUUGCUACAUUUGUAGAGUUGGUGGAACGCAUCGAGGGGAUCAUGCGGGAAGGAAGGUUGACGGAGAACACAAAUCGUUGAUAUACCCCCAAGAGAGAUAAUGAAUCGGCUGUGGAGAUCGCCUACAUACAAAAUUCCUCUUCUCAGAAGCCGUAUAACCUUCAAGCUCAUAAACCUGUCAUGGAAGUAAGGGGAUCUUCCAGAAACUUUGAGCGUAAAGGAAAGGCCCCUCAAAGGCAAUUUACUCCAUUGCCUAGACCCAUGUCACAACUACUUCCAAUGCUGAUCGAAAAUCAUCUUGUGGCGAAAGAAAUCCCGAGGGAUAAUCCGCCAAAGUUUGUCGGAUUCGACCUUAAUAAGACAUGUGAGUAUCAUAUGGGUGAAAAAGGUCAUCAUGUGGACAACUGUUUGAUGCUCCGUUAUAAGAUCCAGGAUUUGCUAGAUAAAAAGCUGCUCACCUUUAAGGACUCAGCACCGAAUGUCCAACAAAAUCCCCUUCCAAAGCAUUCUGAAGAUGUCAACAUGGUUGGCGCUAUUGAUGGAAAUGAAGAACCUACAGUUCCCACUGUGUAAGGGAUGUUUCUAGUUCUUACAUUCAAUUUUUAGUUGUAUUCCAUUUAGUUCUCCCCUGCGAGGGAAUUCCAUUCAUUUCAUCCGUUUGUGCUUGUAAUAAUCUGGAUCAUAAACUUUCUAGAUCCUAGAUGAUAUACGUUGUAAUGCAAUUUUCGCUUAUCAAUAAAAUUCACGUUUUCUUAAUAGACGUAUGAGGCCCGAAUCAGUCCUAUGAUGAUGCUUUGAGGCCUGAGCCUCCACACGGUCUAUAGUUUCAAAAUGUUUUAGUGGAAUGAAGACGUCCAAUGACCUGAGGGCUAGUUCCUAAUAAAAUUUUCAAAAAACAACUUGAAUUUGAAAACAAAUUUUCAUGACAUUUACAUUCAUUGCAUUCAUUCAUAUGUAUAACUAGUUUUUGACUGCAUCCCAAGCAUGGCAUUUCACAUCAUGAUAGUCAUUUGCAUGGCUUGGAUUCGCAUUCAAAAGACUUUGACGGACCCGAUUAUUCUGACUCAGAGAAUGAAGAUGAUCCUCGAGGUAUUGAAAAAGAAUGGCUCAGACAUGAAGCAUCCAAACCUCCUACCACCAAACAUCCAGUCACUAUAAAUUUAGGAGAUUCAGAUAACCCUAAAGAAACCAAGAUUGGGGCAGGUCUCUCUCAAGCGGAUGCUAAUGGAUUAAUUGGGCUCUUGAAAGAAAUAUAUGAAGGAGAGUGGUCCUCAUAUGAAUGGUCAUCUCUUGGCUAGAAAAAUUAUGAGGCUCGGUUACUAUUGGUUGACCAUGGAAGCCGAUUGUACUCAACAUGUGAGGUGUUGCCAUCAAUGCCAAGUCUAUGAAGACAAAAUCAAUGCUCCUCCUAAUAAGCUACAUCAAAUGUUCGAGUCCUGGCCUUUUUCAAUGUGGGGCAUCGGCAUCAUCGGACCAAUUAAUCCUAAAGCAUCGAAUAGACAUUGUUUUAUCUUAGUAGCAAUUGAUUACUUCACCAAAUAGAUUGAAGGCAAUUCUUAUACUCAUGUUACUGCAAAAAGCGUAGCAAAGUUCAUCUGUCGUGAUAUCAUUGCUCGAUAUGGAGUUCCUAAAGUGAUCAUCACAGAUAAUGGAUCAAACUUGAACAAUAAAGUGGUGGAUGAUUUACUUGAAGAAUUCCACAUUCGCCAUUUGAAUUCUUCUCCUUACCGCCCACAAAUGAAUGGAGCUGUGGAAGCAGCAAAUAAGAACAUCAAGAAGAUUUUAGCCAAAACGGCAGAAAAUUAUCGUGAUUGGCAUGAUUGGUCGCCAUAUGCUUUGUUUGCUUAUCGAACUUCAAUUCGUACUUCGACUAGGGCAACCCUGUUCUCAUUGGUUUAUGGGAUGGAAGCUGUAUUACCCGUGGAAGUGGAAAUUCCUUCACUAAGGGUACUUUCUCAAAUCAAGCUCUCUGAAGCUGAAUGGGUUCAACAAAGAUUUGAACAACUUAAUAUGAUUGAUGAAAAGAUGGUGAAAGCCUUAUGCCAUGGACAAAGCUAUCAGAAGAGAGUAGCUAGGUCAUUUAACCGCAAGGUUAGACCAAGGCAUUUCGAGAUUAAUAAUCUUGUCUUGAGGAAGGUUUUACCUAUUAUUCCAGAUCCUCAUGGGAAGUUUACUCCAAACUAUGAAGGUCCAUAUAUUGUAAAGAAAGUGCUACCUGGUGGGGCACUAAUCCUUGUAGAAAUGGAUGGUCACGAAUUGCCAAGACCUGUAAAUGCUGAUGCUGUCAAGAAGUAUUAUCCAUGAAUAAAGUGAAAGGCCUUUGAGCCAUUUUUUGAUUGAAUCCGAGCCACGUUAGGAUGUUUGCAUCAUGCAUUGCAUGCAUACAUACUGCAUCUGCAUGUUUGUUCAUUUUGCAGGAUCUCUGAUGAAGAUUCUACUUGUCCACAAGAGGUUCAUCUCAAGAAUGCAAAACUUUCAAAAGUAUCAUUCUUCUUUAGAACUUAGAAGUGACCAUGUUCCUUAGAAUGCCAAAAGAGUCAGUUUAAACUUUAGAGUCGAUUAGAACUCUAGAAAUAUAGUUAGAACUCUAAAAAUGAACCCAUGUGCUAAGCAAAGCCUGUUCUGUCUACAAAUUUUAUCAAACCUUACUUUCAAAAAUCUCCCUAGUAGGGUCAAGCCAACAUGUCCUUUCAAGCAAAAUUUCAUUACAUUUUCAUUCCCCAAUGAGCUGAAUUUAACUAAAGUGGGUUUUGCAAAACCUGAAAAGGAUUGUUAAAUAUGCCAGGUGGUAGUGCCUAAAAUGAGAGAGGCAACCCCUUUACUAAACACAUCCUCAUACACUCUUUGAGAGAAUUGAGUGGAAAGAACCAUGUCUUAGGGCAUAGGAUUCAUUCACAGUGAAUACAUGAUUUGAAAUGAUAAAGGCAUUUUCAUUUCUCAAUCCCUAAACACUAUUGAUAUCCCUUGCAAGCCACUUUGAGCCAAAUAGGGAGCAUUUCCAAAAUAACCCUGUCAAGAACAACCCCACAUUGGGGCAAAAUAGAGGGUCUUGGUUGAGAAUUGUGGAGCAAAAGAUUAAGAAAGAUUUUAUUACUUUCACUUGCAUCAAUCUUCUUGUGCUAGCUUCAGGUGAUUUCUUAUCGAAACUUGAAGCAUCCCAAAGUGACAAAGAGCAUUCUGUUCACUACCACAAACACAAUUAUCCAUUGCUUAGCCAAUUUGAGCCUUAUGCAAUUCUUUCAUAACCCCUGGUGAUGAUUAUCUCCGCACACUAGGGCAAGGCAUAUGAUUUACCAACAAAAUUGAGAAUAUUGGUAAUGUUUGUAAAUGCCACUCGAGAGUCCUAGAUGGUCAAAAGAGAAUGAAAACUAGGGGGCAUGAAAAAGUAGUGUGCUUGGUAAAAGCAAGGCCAAUGCCCAGAAAAAAAAAUGCAAAGAAAAGCAAGAAUGCAAAAAAGAGCGAAAUCCAUGAUCAUGCAAAAGUCAUUCGUUGAAAAAAAAAAGAAAUGUCUUGCAAGAGAAAACAUGUAUUGCAAGCAAUAUCAUUAGAACAAAGAGCGAGGCUCUCAUGUCUCAAGACAAAUUACCCAAAGGACUCUCAAGAUAGGUUAAAUUUCAAGAGUUGAAUUUUUGAAAAGUCGUGUAAUGGUAAUGAUGCCAAGAUAAUCACUCACUUUUAACCCUUUGAUACUUGAAAGUCUUUGAAGCCUUUCUAAGCCUCACCCGAACCAACACUACAACCCUUAUCCGAAGUCUCUUCCGAUUGGGAUGGUUCGAGUUGAAAUGAGAUAUCACAUAGGAGCUACCGCUAGAAGGAGUGGAAGCAAUCCUAUCUUAUCUUAUCUUCAAGGUUCUUGACUUGUAGACCCGGUGAAGAUAUUGAUUGAAUAUUCAUUUCUUGGCUUCAAAGUACAUACCCUUUGUGUAAUCCCAUGACCAAGCCAUCAUUACGGUCCUUUCAAACGACCUUUUGAUCAAUGGAUUGUAUUCACUGUGAACGUUUCUAAAAGCCGUAAACAUAGGUUGAGUGAGACUUCUCCAAUGAGAUUUAAACAGUUCUCCCAUAUCAAUGGUUGGGAACAAAAGCCCUUUUUGAGAGCUAGUGUGAAAGACCUCUUUUGAUUAGAUUUAACCCUUAGAUGGUUAAUCAAAUCUCAUUUUGUUAAAAUCUUCUUUGAAAGAAUUUGACAAUCAAUGUUAUUGCGCAAGAUUGGUUCUCUAGCAAUUUCGAAACUCAUAACCGGUCGAAAGGACCUCUUCUCGGUCAAAGCCCAUUAUUACAUGGUAAGACCCUUUUUCCAGUCGAAACCCGUUUUUACACGGUGAGACUAUCGCAUCCAAUCGAAACCCGUUUUUACACGGUGAGACUAUCGCAUACAGUCGAAACCUGUUUUUACGCAUCCAGUCGAAAUCCAUUUUUACACGGUGAGACUAUCACAUCCAGUCGAAACCCGUUUUUACACGGUAAGACAUCACAUCCAGUGAGACAACUCCCCCAGUCGAAAUCCGUUUUUACACGGUGAGACCUUUCUCCCAGUCUAAACCACACAGUUUCAGGUUGUCCUUAAACCUUGUCUUCAGAUUCUAGGUUAUCCUUAAAUCUUGUCUUCCAAAUUUUACUUUAUCCUUAAACCAUUCCUUUUUCAUUUAGUGAUUUCAUUGCCUUCAUUCCAUUCCAUGAGAGAGAGAAAUAGAAACAGAGUGAAUAAACCCCUAACCACAGUUCAGAUAUCCUGAUGAGCAAAGGUAAAUAUCAGGUAUGUCCCUAACCAACCAUCAUUGCUUUUGUCAUUUUCUAUUUUCAAAAUCGAGUCGACUAAAAAUUUCAAGUAUCAAUUUUAUCUUUGAGCGGAACCUCUUUGAGCUCCCACCCAAAGAGGAGCAACUGUUGACACCCGAAAUUUUCGUCGAGAUUUUAAUCAUCCAUUUUGCAAAAAUAAAAAAAUAAAGAGCAAAAAUAAAUAAAUAAAUAAAAAGAAAAGAAAAAAAAGAAAAGAAAAGAAAAGAAAAAAAUGAAAUGAAAUGAAAAGAGAAAAAAAUUAGAAAUAAGGAAAACGAAAAAGAAAAAGGAGAGAAAAAGAAAAAAAAUAAAAGAAAGAAAAAAUAAUAGAAAAGGGGAUCGGGGGUUCUCGCCAGGGGGAUAGACGAUCAUUUUUUGGAUUCUCUCUCUUGAGAGGAUUCUCUCUCUCUAAACGGUUUUCUCUUGCUCUCUCACGCUCUCUCUCUGGAAAAAAAAAACGGACUAUCUUCAUCUCUUGCUCGGCUGAGAGCUCACGAGGAGAAAAGGGGAUCGAGGAGAGGAAAAUCGAUCGAUCGCCAUCGCUCCCUUCCCCUGCCUCGAGUGCGAUCCGAGUCGAUCGGAACCAUCGUCGGCGGCGACGAUGACGACGACACCAACAGUGGUGCUGAUAGAGGGCUCGGAGAGAUCUGGCUCUCGAUCGGGUUGGGCUCUCCAAUCGGUGGCUCAACGUCUAGGGUUCUCGGGUGAUUUCGAUCGAUCGAAAGCGGCGGCGAUGACGACCAGUGGUGACAGCCGCUCCCGAUCUGUACCUCUCUCUGUUCUAGUUCAGCAGAUUGUUCUCGCUCGCUCGAUCAAAGACGGAAUGGCCGGAUGAGGAGCUCGACAGGGAUUCGAUUUUCGAGAAUCAACAGCAACAGCUUCCGAUCUUUUCUUCGUUCUAUUUCUCAAGUAACUCUCCCGCAGUUGCGAGGCUCAUAUCCAUGUAGUUAGUAGUGGCGGUGACAAAGUUGAGAGAGGAGUACAGGUGCAAUGAUGUGUACUGAUGCUGUAUUUUGGCUUAUUCUCUAUCCCUUUCUGACCUUAGCAGAUUAUAGGUUAAAUCUCCUGAUUGUUUGUUUGCACUCGAUCAAUGCUUUCUUCCUCCUUGGUGACCAUUUUGAAUGGUUUAUUGUUCCUUAUGUUUCGUUUUGCAUAUUCCGUUCUAUGGACAUGCCUAUAUGUCAUUUUCCAAUAGAUCUUUCGCACUCGUGUUUUCAAUUUGGCUCAUAUCCGUUUAUGGACUUGUCAUCAUCAUACACUCCUCUUUGGUACCUUGGAGUGGCAGUCAUGCAUAUUCCAUGCUACUGCAUCUUUGAUUUGAUAAUUGGGCUCAAACACAUAUUGUCGUUGAGAUGAUUCCCAUAAUCUCAUCAGAGUCCGAAACGAGGAAUAUCUAGAUGAAGAUUUUAGCGUAGUAGUUUUGCUCUAUUAGACGAGUUCUCACCACCGUUUCUGGUGGCUGCUGCAGUUCCCAUGGUCCGUAAAAGAUAAGAGUAAUCAUUCAUUCGUUGUUUGCAGAAGAAUAAUGGCUGGAGUUGUGUAUUGCAUUUCCAUUAAUGAAAUGUACAAAUUGUUGAUGGACUAGCAUUGAAUUAACUCUUGCUGAGUUCUUUUUUUUUUGUACUGAAUUCUUUGUGGGUUUAUGAAAACCUUCCUUUCUAGCUUUUUGUAUUGUAAUGUGGCUGUCAGUUUUCCUUGGCAUGUAUUGGCAUUUAGCACCAGUUUAUGGAAAUUCGUUCUGACUUGUGCUCUGUUUCGGAUGACCUUUUGUGCAAAUGACCUGAUACGAGUUGGUUGAUGUGGUUUUCUGUGUUCGAAGUCUUCAUGAAAGUUGAAGAUGGUUCGAUUAUCUUUCCAAUGAGCUAUAGAAUGCCCUAAUCAGACUUCAUUUAAUAUGAUUUUUGUCUGUCCAAAGUCUGGUCCAGAAUCUGCCAAAUGUUUGUCUCUCUGUUUUGGAUGACCUUCUGUGUAAAUCACUUGAUAUGAACGGGUAGAUGAUGUUAUUAGGAUUUAAUGUCUUCUAGAUAAUUGUAAUAGACAUCUCAACCUUUAAAAUGACAUAUUGCAUGCCUGAAUCGACCAUCGUUUGCUAUGUUUAACAUUUUUUUCUAAUCCAUUCUGAAAUCUGGAAUUUGCCUUGGUCAGAAAUGCAUAUUCUGUUAUUGUGGGCCCGAUUGUCUGUCACUUUCCUAUGAUGCUGAUUUUGCAUGAUUUGCACAUCAAUUGGGCUCAACCUCUCUUGUGAUGCGCAUGAUAGAAAUCUGUCAUAAAACGAAAUUCAGAACCCUUGUUCUUCCCUUGUCGAAGCUGACCUCUUGUCAUUCUUCUAUGAUUUUCUUGUUAAGGAUUCUAAGAUUGGGUCUUUAACAAAAGUUGUUCGUCUUUCUUUUGUUCGCGCUGUGGUAAAAUUUCAUAUUCUUCAGAUUUUCUUCUUAAAUCAAAUCAUUAUUAAUGUGUCAUGACAUCCUAAUAUUUUGCUGCAUUUUUUACGAAGUUGUCUGCAUGAAACUUGUGCCUCAUUGUCUUCUUGACAUUUGAAACACGUGUUAGAAGUUUCGCAUUAAUACAUGGCAUAUCAUAUUUGAAUCUCGUUUGAUGUGAAUAUCAUGCAUCCAUUUGGCUAAUUGCAAUUGAAAUUUGUCAAGCGUGACAUUCUUAGUCCCAAGUCACUUUGCAAUGUUAAUGACUUGUGUGACUUCUUUGGAUUUUGAUUUAGGGUUAAAUGUUUACCCAAACCUUUUUCGCAUUCAACCUUAUGUCAUGUGCAAGUUUCACAUUUUUGUACAUUG
rnacentral:lncRNA from 1 species